rnacentral:tRNA from 1 species
AGGGAUGUAGCUCAGUGGUAGAGAACUUGUCUAGUAAGCAUGAGGCCCUGGGUUCAAACCCUCGCACCCCUC